UAAGACAGCAAGCUAGCUCUCUGCAAUUCCCACAUAGUCACCCCUUAAAGCUAAGCAGGACUGAGCCUGAUCAGCACCUGGAUGGGAGACCCCAUGGGAAAGCUAGGUUGCUGCCGGAA
rnacentral:rRNA from 1 species